GCGCCUGUGGUGUAAUGGUCAGCAUAGUUGCCUUCCAAGCAGUUGAUUCGGGUUCGAUUCCCGACAGGCGCA
rnacentral:tRNA from 1 species